rnacentral:rRNA from 1 species
CCUACGGGAGGCUGCAGUGGGGAAUAUUGGACAAUGGGGGGAACCCUGAUCCAGCCAUGCCGCGUGUGUGAAGAAGGCCCUCGGGUUGUAAAGCACUUUCAGUGAGGAAGAACGCCUGGUGGUUAAUACCCAUCAGGAAAGACAUCACUCACAGAAGAAGCACCGGCUAACUCCGUGCCAGCAGCCGCGGUAAUACGGAGGGUGCGAGCGUUAAUCGGAAUUACUGGGCGUAAAGCGCGCGUAGGUGGCUUGAUAAGCCGGUUGUGAAAGCCCCGGGCUCAACCUGGGAACGGCAUCCGGAACUGUCCAGCUAGAGUGCAGGAGAGGAAGGUAGAAUUCCCGGUGUAGCGGUGAAAUGCGUAGAGAUCGGGAGGAAUACCAGUGGCGAAGGCGGCCUUCUGGACUGACACUGACACUGAGGUGCGAAAGCGUGGGUAGCAAACAGGAUUAGAUACCCCAGUAGUC